rnacentral:rRNA from 1 species
CAGUAGCCACGGGAAUACGUAGGGGGCAAGCGUUAUCCGGAAUAACUGGGCGUAAAGGGUGCGCAGGUGGUUUAACAAGUUAGUGGUGAAAGGCAUAGGCUCAACCAAUGUAAGCCAUUAAAACUGUUUAACUUGAGUGCAGGAGAGGAAAGUGGAAUUCCUAGUGUAGCGGUGAAGUGCGUAGAUAUUAGGAGGAAUACCAGUGGCGAAGGCGACUUUCUGGACUGCAACUGACACUGAGGCACGAAAGCGUGGGGAGCAAACAGGAUUAGAUACCCGAGUAGUCCCUGUCUCUUAUACA